ACGUCUACGGCCUGAACGUGCCCGAUCUCGUCUGACCUCAGAAGCUAAGCAGGGUCGGGCCUGGUGAGUACUUGCAUGGGAAUAAACCACACAAACUAGCCGGACGUG
rnacentral:rRNA from 1 species